rnacentral:rRNA from 1 species
UGAGGAAUAUUGGUCAAUGGGCGCAAGCCUGAACCAGCCAAGUAGCGUGAAGGAUGACUGCCCUAUGGGUUGUAAACUUCUUUUAUGCGGGAAUAACCUCGACCAUGUAUGGUCGUUUGCAUGUACCGCAAGAAAAAGCAUCGGCUAAUUCCGUGCCAGCAGCCGCGGUAAUACGGAAGAUGCGAGCGUUAUCCGGAUUUAUUGGGUUUAAAGGGAGCGUAGGCGGACUAUCAAGUCAGUUGUGAAAGUCAUCGGCUCAACCGCUGAAUUGCAGUUGAAACUGGUAGUCUUGAGUGCACAUGAGGAUGGUGGAAUUCGUAGUG